UAAGAUGAUGAGGCAUGCUCCU
rnacentral:siRNA from 1 species